AUAAGUCGCCAAUUACGUAAGCUGGCGGCGUUUGUUUACUCAUUUCUCACUUAUUUAUUGUUCGCGGCAGUGAAGAAGCCGCGAUUCUGCCGGCGCGUCACGUUUACGGCGUUUUGCACGUUUUCUGCGCGAUUUAUAUGAUGCUCACGCAAUGCGCAGCGGCAUUUGAUCGCGAACAGUAGUCAAAGUAACUUCUCACAAUCAAAACCAAUAAAACAAAACAAAAAAACAUAUAAAAUGAAUAAUAAUAAAAUAAUGUGGUUAAUUGUUGUAAUAUUACUACUCGUGAAUAUUGCUGAAAUUUCCUCACGCGCUGCAACUUCUUCGACGGAUUUAACAAAUAAAGAACCGACGGAAAUGAUUGACGGCACGCCGGUUGUGCGUGUACGCCGGCUGAAAAAACCGCGCCGCUUGAAUCUGGAGCACGACGAGGGUCGGAAAUUCACCGGGGAGUUCGAGAAAACCGUGCCGAUUAAAAACAUCUUAAAAUUGAAAGUUAUACCGAUCGAUGAGUACGAAAAACACGCAAAGACUGUUUAAAAACACAAAAAAAAUCAUAAAAAUUGUAAUUAUUGAAAUGUAAAUGAUGCGCAUGCCUUUUGUUCCAUUCGAAUAAUCAUCACCGACUGAAUCGUACAGAAAAACACGCGAAUCGUGUUGUUUUGCAUAGUUUACUAUUUUGUAAUUAACAGUCCGAGUCCAAGCGAAGAUUAAAUCUUAAUUAUUGUUUUUUGUUACGUUUAACACGAAAGGUUUUCGAUGCAAGCUGGAAAAUUGCACAAUUUGACGAGUUUUAUUAGCAGCCAGUUUAUUUCAAUAAUAUUAUUGUAUUUUUUGUGUUUUAUUAUUAUUUUUAGUUAAGUUAUGUUAAUUAAAUUAUUUGUUUUGUAAAA